GAUGAACGCUAGCGGCAGGCUUAACACAUGCAAGUCGAGGGGUAGAAGGAGCUUGCUCCUUUGAGACCGGCGCACGGGUGCGUAACGCGUAUGCAAUCUACCUUUUGCAGAGGGAUAGCCCAGAGAAAUUUGGAUUAAUACCUCAUAGUAUGUGAGGAUGGCAUCAUUUUCACAUUAAAGUCACAACGGCAAAAGAUGAGCAUGCGUCCCAUUAGCUAGUUGGUAAGGUAACGGCUUACCAAGGCUACGAUGGGUAGGGGUCCUGAGAGGGAGAUCCCCCACACUGGUACUGAGACACGGACCAGACUCCUACGGGAGGCAGCAGUGAGGAAUAUUGGACAAUGGGCGCAAGCCUGAUCCAGCCAUGCCGCGUGCAGGAUGACGGUCCUAUGGAUUGUAAACUGCUUUUGUACAGGAAGAAACACUACUUCGAGAAGUAGCUUGACGGUACUGUAAGAAUAAGGAUCGG
rnacentral:rRNA from 1 species